CCCUACGGGGGGCAGCAGUGGGGGAUAUUGCACAAUGGGGGGAACUCCGAUGCAGCGACGCCGCGUGAGCGAAGAAGUAUUUCGGUAUGUAAAGCUCUAUCAGCAGGGAAGAAAAUGACGGUACCUGAGUAAGAAGCCCCGGCUAAAUACGUGCCAGCAGCCGCGGUAAUACGUAUGGGGCAAGCGUUAUCCGGAUUUACUGGGUGUAAAGGGAGCGUAGGCGGCCUGGCAAGUCUGAUGUGAAAUACCGGGGCCCAACCCCGGGGCUGCAUUGGAAACUGUCAAACUAGAGUACGGGAGCGGUA
rnacentral:rRNA from 1 species